AGUUGCUGACAAGUUGGUAUGUAUUCAGAAUCUAAAGUUGAUUCUACUUUAGCUCUAGAAUUACUCCAAGACCUG
ensembl:snoRNA